UACGUAGGGUGCGAGCGUUGUCCGGAAUUACUGGGCGUAAAGAGCUCGUAGGUGGUUUGUCGCGUUGUCCGUGAAAACUCACAACUCAACUGUGGGCUUGCAGUCGAUACGGGCAGGCUGGAGUUCGGGUAGGGGAGACUGGAAUUCCUGGUGUAGCGGUGGAAAUGCGCAGAUAUCAGGAGGAACACCGGUGGCGAAGGCGGCAUCCUGGACCAUAUUGACGCGAGGAGCGAAGCCAGGAGCA
rnacentral:rRNA from 1 species